rnacentral:lncRNA from 1 species
CGGACAAAAUGUGUGGAAGAAAAAUAAAAAAAACUAGAUUUGUAAUUGCUAGCAAUAACGGAUGGCACCCUCGUCCCCCAUUGCCAGGCGAGCGGCAGCCAUUUUGGAAAUUCCAAAGUCAAAGAAGGCAUCUACCCUUGCAAGUUAUCAUUUUUGCAAAAUUUCAUUAAGUUUGAAGCAUUUUGAAAUUUUGGACAAUUUUGCUGUUUCCAUGGUUACGGCGGCCAUUUUGGAAAUUCCAACUUCAAAAUGCAACUCCGCACAUGUCAGUCACUAUUUCUGUAAAGUUUCAUCCAGUUUGCAGCACUUUAUUUUUUUUGGAAAUUUUGAACAUUUGUGCUGCAACCAUGGUUACAGUAGAUAAUUCCAAAAUUCUAAAAGCAGUACAUCUCAUUGCCACAUGUCAUGUUAUAUAUCAAUACAGUUUCAUUUACUUUGGUGCACUAUUCUCUGAGAAAAUGCUGAUUUUAUGCAUUUUUCCAUAGGGUCAAUGCAAAACUUGGCCCCAGUUUCCAUGACAACGGCGGCCAUUUUGAACUAUCCAAAUAUUGUCUUUGACAUCUUGGCAUACUGGGUCACAUUUUCAUAAAGUUUUAUCCAGCUGGAUGUUAUAAUGAAAGAGUUAGAAUUUUUGAUAUUUGAGCUGUUUCCAUGGUAACGGCAGCCAUUUUGGAAAUUCCAAAGUCAAACUGUAAAUCAUCUCAUGCCAGUUACCAUUCCUGUGAAGUUUCUUCCAGUUUGGAACACUUUGAAUAUUUUCGGAUUUUUGCAGUUUCCAUGGAAACGGCAGCCAUCUUGACCAUUCCAAAGUCAGGUGCACAACUUCAUAUGCUGGUCCACAUUAUGGUAUAGUUCCAUCAACAUUGGUCCAUACAAUUCCGAGAAACUGUGUGGACAAAAAGUGUUGAAGAAGAAUAAUAAAAAUAAGGAAAAAAAGAAACGUACAAUAACAAUACGUCACCCCAACUUCGUUGAGGGUGCCAUAAUAAGAAAAAAAGAAACGUAGAAUAACAAUAUGUCACCCCAACUCCGUUGAGGGUGCCAUAACUAGAUUUGUAAUUGCUAGCAAUAACGGAUGGCACCCUCGUCCCCCAUUGCCAGGAUAAAGGCAGCCAUUUUGAAAUUUCCAAAAUUGAAGAGCGCAUUUACAGAUGUCUAUCAACGUUGUUGUAAAAUUUCAUCAAUUUUGG